ensembl:lncRNA
AGUGGGGAAAACUCUUCCAGUUUCAAAUUGACUUUCUCAGCUCCCCAUUGAGUACCUGGGAUUUCCUGAGUAUUUCUUCAGAUGUUAAUCCUACUCAGGUCUUGUAGCUGUUGGCUGUUUGUUCCUAUCCACUUACCUUUUGGAGAUCAGGGAGGUGCUUUGUCAGUUUGUGGAGACUUUCUAGGACGUUUCCCAGCACCUGUGGAUUGGCUGCCAUUCCUGCUGGGUUUCCUCCUCUCCCUGGAAGGACUGGAAGAUGACAGCUUCACGUUAGCCAACACAACCAAGAAAGCCGUAAGAACAAAGUCAGAAAUGCUGCCUGGAACUCAGUGCAAGGGUGGAUCAGAGAGUGGAGGACAGCCGUGGCAGACGAUGGAGGAGAAUGGGUCCCGAGAGUGGCAGCUCCAUCCAGUCUCUAUGGUGGCCUCAGGAUGCCCAGCCGCACCAGAGUCAGCUGCAGGAUUGCUGUUCCUCCUAGGUCUGCUCCUCCGUGGUUUCCUGCCUGGCUGAAUGGCCGUUGCUUCGUGGUGAUGAUUCAUGGCAUUUGGAAAGUGUGGCUGUGUUCUGAACAGGGAAGUGAAAAAUAACCCAGCCAAGGGCAGCACAGGACAGGAACGGGGCUGUCACAAGACGUGAAGCUUUACUUUGGAAAAUGCAGGGGGUGGGGCACCUCGGGGAAGUGGGUCUUGGUGGUUCGGUCCUGCUAGCCCUUCUGCAGAGCCUCAGCUUUUCCGAGCACUGGUCACCGAGCUGCCCCUUGGAAGCGGCUGCUGGUCUUGGCCCAGCGGCUGUGGGUAGAAGGAAGUGGACGGGUGAUUCAGUGACUGUCGGCUUCCUCUCUGACUCAAGAUUGGAUCCGUUUUUUAGGGUGGUGCCAGGGGCCCUGGGCCGCUUUAGCUAGAAUCUUUGGAGUCAGAAUGGAGGCGCUGACCCCUGUGGUUGCUGGCUUUCCUCCCACCCUUUGGGAUGGGUCAGGGGAUUAGCUGAACUCUCUGCCUCCCUCCUUGUUGGGUAAGCCCUUCUGACUUGAGGCCUGCCUGUGCUUCCAGCUGAGAGAGACACAGUGAGCUGGGGAGCAGAAGCCUCUCUAGAUCCUUGGCCAUCUAGGGGGUUUCCUUGAUUUGGGGGUCAUAUCUGGAAGAACAUUUGGGCUCUGAGGCGCUCGGCUUUGGCAGGUAUCAGACGUGUUGAACUAGUUUGCAUGGAGUCCAUCUGUCCAUCAGUAAUACCCAGGGGCCCCGCUGCUCCCUUCCCAUGAGCAGAGUCAUAAUCACCUCCAUGCUCUGUGUGCUGCUUACCCGCCAUCACCACCAUCACUGAAUCCUGUUGUAAGAAACACUGACUAUCCAGAUAAUGACCUCUGCCUGAGAGCGUCCAAUCCUGAAAGUACUGACUUGACAAAGACGUGGAAAUCCUCCCAGAGUUGUGACAGGGGUUCUGUAUUUCAGUGUCCUAAACAACCUUGGAUGAUGGUCCCUUCUCCUCCUCUCCUUUCCCUCCUGUUCCCAUGGCCGAAGCUGAGGACAGCUGGUCUUGCUUGGGCAGGAUGGCCAGCGUCCACUCCCUGGUGAGUUUCAUGGGGAAGCUAUUAUUAGCCACACGAAAGAGAAAUUCGACCCAGAUCACUCAGGGCUUCAAAAAGGGACUCUAAGAAUGCCUGAAAUGGGACCUGACCCUGCCAGGCACUCUCAUCUCUUUCUCAAUCUUGGUCUCAUCUUCUACCCCAAUAUGGAUUUCAAUCUCUUUGAUAAGCUUUCUCUACAUGACAGGGAAUGUACACAACAGUAGCUUCUGCUUAUCGCGCCUCCCAGCUUCACUGCUAGAGAGGGGGCCGAGAGUUCAAAAGUUCCACCUGAUGGCCUUUGCAGGGGUCAGAUGAUAGUUCCCAGUUCCAUCUCUGUGGUCGGGGGUGGAUCUUUGAGCAGGAGGCUGCCCACAUUUGGUUGCUAUGAUCAGUUCAGGGGUGGCAGUAUUUUUCAAAGAAGGGGGCGCCCAUCCUAGGUAGACAAACAGUAGAUCCACUAACCCUGGGCACUGUAGGCGGGGGUCCUGGGCCGCCUCACCUCUGCUUGUGGGGGCUGCAGUGAGUGGCCUGGCCAAGGGGAGGAGGUGCCUUUUGAACCCUCAGAAACCAUCAUUUUACUGCUUGAAAAUCCAUAAAAGAUGGGGGUUUCCUCAACCACCUUUUUUUGGGGGGGAUACAUGUUUGAGGCCACAGCUGUGUGUGAUCUUCUGAGGGGACGGCCUUGGAGGCUCAGAGCAGAGUGAGAAGAACAAAGGAAACGUUCUGAGAAGCAUGGCAAAAAUGAAACCAAAUAAAAACCCCAUAAAAAUCCCUCCGAGGGCAGAGGAAAUACCAACCCAAGGCUUCUGAGCCACAGAUUCGGUAGUAAAAAUUGAAGGACAGGCCACUCAGAGGCGAUCCCAUUGGGGCCAGAGGGAGAAUGUAUUGGAACACAAUAAAAGGGAAUCAUCCGAGCAGGGGAGGACUGCUGUGUGCUGUAAUUCAG